rnacentral:lncRNA from 1 species
CUCCUUCUUUCUCUUCUUCCUCGCCAGCCAACUCUAACCCAUUAUUUCACUCAAAUUUCUCCAUGCAUGUGUUUUAUUCAAGCUUCUUCUCCAACUAAUUGAAGGAAUCAAAGAGUAAGUUGAAGGAAUUUUUCCCUUUUCUUCUCUCAUGUGGCAGAAUUUUCUUUCUCCCUUUCUUCUCUUAAGUGGCCGAGCCACUUCCCUUUCCAUAUCUCUCUUAAAUUUUCCCUCAAAAUCUGAUGAUUUGUGUUGAAUGUUUGAUGUAUUGACUGAAAAUUGUGAUGGC